CAGUCGCCACGGUAAAACGAAGGGUGCAAGCGUUAAUCGGAAUUACUGGGCGUAAAGCGUGCGUAGGCGGUUUGUUAAGUCUGUUGUGAAAUCCCCGGGCUCAACCUGGGAAUGGCAAUGGAUACUGGCAAGCUAGAGUGUGUCAGAGGAUGGUGGAAUUCCCGGUGUAGCGGUGAAAUGCGUAGAGAUCGGGAGGAACAUCAGUGGCGAAGGCGGCCAUCUGGGACAACACUGACGCUGAGGCACGAAAGCGUGGGGAGCAAACAGGAUUAGAUACCCCUGUAGUCCCUGUCUCUUAUAC
rnacentral:rRNA from 1 species